GCCAACAUGGCAUAGUGGUUUGAGCAUUGGACUAUGUCUCUGAAGACCAAGGUUCAAUUCUUUGUUUGGCC